UGUUCUCCAUUCUUCUGGUAUUCCUGUCUUCAUUAUUUCUCUGCAGCAUGAUGUCAUCCACUCUGUUCCUGUGUUUCCCAAUUUCUUCACUAGUUCGAUGGGGAGCUCAUCCGGUCCUCUUGCUUUAUUGUUCUUCAUCUUCUUGAGUUGUCUUCUCACUUCAUCUUCCGUAAUCUCUGGUACUGGCCCAUGGACUGGUUCAAGAUGGUCCAGUUCUUUCCUGUUGUUCUUCGUGUUCAAAAGUCUAUCAAAAUAUUCCCUCCAUCGCUCUUUGAUUUUCUCAUCUUCGCUCACGAUCUUUCCCUGCUCAUUCUUGACAAAAGUGAUCUUGUCAAUGUCCUUUGCUCUUCUCUGUCGAGUUUUAGCUAACUUGUAGAUUCUUUUCGGUCCGUUUUGCUCCAGAUCCUUGUAUAGUUGUUCCUGGCCUUUCUCUCUAACAAUCGCACACUUUUCUUUACUGAUCUUGCUCAUUUCUCUCAGAGUCUCCCUGUCUUCCUCCAAACCAGAUCUCUUCCAUCUCUUAAAAGCUUCUUUCUUGUUCUUCACAGCCUCUUGUACUUCUUCAUUCCACCACCAGGAUUCUUUUUCUAUCUAUUUCCCACCUCUACUAACUCCCAGUGUCUCCUUUGCUGCUUCUAGUAUAUUGGGGUAUGUUUCAUUCCAUUUCCAAUCUCCCACCAUGCUUUGUUCCAUUAGCAUUUCUGUGAUCUUACUUUCCAGCUCAUCUCCUUCCUCAUUAUGUAGUUUCCACCAGUUGAUCUUCUUCGGUCGCUCUCUUCUUAUUCUUCUCCUCUUCUUGAUCUUAUAAUCCAUCACAACGAGUCUAUGCUGCAGUGCAAUUUCCUCACCAGGGGUAACCUUACAAUUUUUAACAUCGCCUAGGUCAUCUCUCUUUAUCAUGAUGAAAUCUAUCACGGUCUGGCUAAGGCCACUAUUGUACGUGUAGGUGUUUCCAUCCCUCUGUGUGAAAAAUGUGUUUACCACUGCGAGGUCCUUGCUCCUUGCAUAGUCCAAGAUCUUAUCUCCUUCUUCAUUUCUUCUUCCGAUUGACUUUCCUCCAUGCCAUCUCUCAAAUCCCUCUACUCUCUCUCUUCCGAUGUGCCCAAUGAGAUCUCCUGCCACAAUCAGCUGUUCUGUUUCCUUCACAUUGGUGGUCACUUCUUCAAGUUGGUUCCAAAAUCUCUGUUUCUCGUCUUCUUCUUCUUCUUUCUUCUUCACAACCUUGCUGAGGUGCAUAGGCAGUCACGACGUUGAACGUCUUGUCAGGUGUUACCAGUUUCAUAGUUAUGAUUCUAUCGGACUUUCUCCGGGUCUCUAUCACUUUAUCUUGCCAUUCCUCACUCAGGCAUAUAGCCACUCCAUUCUUUGGCUUUCCCCCUCCGCUGUAGUACAGCUUGUAGCUCUCUCCGAUGUUUCUUGCCUUCCCUCCUGAUUUCCCACCAGUCCAUCUUGUCUCUUGUAAGCAUAGUAUGUCGAUCCUCCUCCUCUUCAUCAUGUCUGCUAUUUCUCUGCUCUUUCCAGUCAGCGUCCCGAUGUUUAGGAUCGCAACUCUCAAGUUCUUCUGUCUGUUCUGUCUCGCUUGCAUUCUUUUCACAGCGUCAAGACAGUAGUGCCGCUGCGCAUCGCUUACGGGGUAUGCCCUAGCAUUGUCUUCUCUUCUGAUUGUCUCCGGCAUAUUAUCAUGUGGCAUGUUCUUUUAAGGACCGGAUGCUCUUCCUGACAUCCACCUUCUGUGUUUAUCCGGGCUUGGGACCGGCUGUCUGCUGCACUGACUUGUCCAGUAUCCAGGCCACAUUAGUUGAUUAUCAACUAUAGACCUGCCAACAUUAGGUUGACUCUCCAAAGAGGUCAUAAAGCAACGUUAAUCUGCACUGCUGAAGGCCGUCCACAACCAAACUUUGAAAUAUUUUCAAAGCGCUCUAAACUUGUCUAUAAAGGCUCCACCUACACAUUUGACAUCGUUAAAUCUUGUGAUUUUGGAAAUUAUACUUGUAAAGCGACAAACAUUUUAGGCAGUGCCAUAUCACAUGACGUACACGUGCAAACAUUUAAAGAUA